AUCAUGGGGAGUACUACCUGAUCAUUUCUACCAACUUAAAGCCCCAAUUAAUAUACUUUUCUAUUAUCUAUUAGGCCGAAUUAGGCCGAAAUACCCUUUGUAGAUAAUUUAGAUAAUUUUCAAUCUAUUACUAAUCCUUUGUGUAUCUUGGUAUUCCUAACCAUCCACUCAUUUUUGCUUAAUCACCUGUUAGAAUUAUGGUAAUACAUAUAAAUGAUAGUGAAAACUCAAGAAAACUCAACAAGGUUGAUCUUUUGAGCCCGCUUCAAGUCAGGAUGACUAAUCAACCAAUCUUGGGGCAACCGGUCUUCUUUUUUUUUUCUGUUUUACUCUUGUACAUAGGAAAUGAGUCUCCAUUUUUUACUUCAAAUUUCGAAGUUGUUUUCUUUUACUCAUAUAACUAUCCAAUUUAGUUCAUCAACCCAAAUGAUGAAUAAAAAAUGAAGAUAUCUAUUCAUUUCGCCCUUUUCCUAAAAAGUCCUAAAAAGAAUAGGGAAAAAUUUAUGUUUCAACGAAUCACACGUAGAGAUAUGGAUAACACACAAAGACUUAAUGGUAUUUCAUAACUAAUCGAUUGAGCAGCAGCUCGUAGACCACCUAAAAAAGAAUAUUUAUUAUUGGAUCCAUAUCCUGACAUAAGAAGUCCAAUGGGAGCAAUACUUGAAAUGGCAAUCCAUAAAAAAACACCAAUAUUUAGAUCAGUUAAAACAAAGUGAUAGCCAAAAGGAAUUACUGAAUAGCUUAAUAAAGUUGAUAUGACUGCUAUGGAUGGUCCGAUACUGAAUAAACGAGUAUCUCCCCUAGAUGGAAAAAGAUUCUCUUUGAAAAGAAGUUUUGUCCCAUCCGCUAGAGCUUGAAGAACCCCUAAAGGACCGGCAUAUUCAGGUCCAAUACGUUGUUGUAUCCCUGCAGAUAUUUCUCUUUCUAACCAUACAAUUACUAGUAUGCCUAUCGUGAUUCCAAAUACAAGAAUCAAAAUAGGGACAAAGGCCCAUAGAAGUCCAUAGACCUCGUUUAAGGAUUCUAAUCUAGAAAAAGAAUUGAUAGCUUGUACUUCUGUUGUAUCAAUUAUCAUUUCAACGAUCAACUUCUCCCAUAAUGAUAUCUAUACUACCUAGUAUUGUCAUAAUAUCAGCCAAUUUCAUUCUUUUAACUAAUUGAGGAAGAAUUUGCAAAUUGAUAAAACCCGGGGGGCGAAUUUUCCAUCUCCAAGGAAAACCGCUCUGAUCCCCUAUCAGAAAAAUUCCCAAUUCUCCUUUUGGAGCUUCGACUCUCACAUAAAGUUCUUGUUUCGGUAAUUCAAAAGUAGGAGAAGUUCUUUUACUAAUGAAUCGAUAUUCGAAAUCGUUCCAUUCUGGAUCCCCUUCUUUAUCAAAACGUCGGGUUUCUAAAUUUUCAUAGGGCCCCCCCGGAAUUCCUUCCAGAGCCUGUUGAAUAAUUUUUAUAGAUUCCAUCGUUUCACCAAUUCGGACUAAAUAACGAGCUAAUGAAUCCCCUUCUUUUUGCCACUGGACUUCCCAAUCAAAUUCGUCGUAACACUCAUAACGAUCCAUUUUACGAAGAUCCCAUUGUACUCCGGAAGCUCGUAGCAUUGGUCCUGAUAACCCCCAAUUUAUUGCUUCCUCUGUACCAACAAUACCAACUCCUUCAACUCGUUCUAAAAAAAUAGGAUUUCGCGUAAUAAGUUUUUGAUAUUCAGCAACUCUUGUUAAAAAAUAAUCACAAAAAUCCAAACAUUUAUCUAUCCAGCCAUGAGGUAGAUCAGCCGCUACUCCCCCAAUACGAAAAUAAUUAUGCAUCAUUCUCAUACCAGUGGCAGCUUCGAAUAAAUCAUAUACUAACUCUCUCUCUCUAAAAAUAUAGAAGAAAGGAGUCUGUGCCCCAAUAUCCGCCAUAAAAGGGCCAAGCCAUAAUAAAUGAGAAGCUAUACGACUCAAUUCCAACAUAAUUACCCUGAUAUAGCUAGCUCUUUUAGGCACUUGAAUAUUUCCUAACAGUUCUGGGCCAUUUACUGUUAUUGCUUCUGUGAACAUAGUAGCCAAAUAAUCCCAACGUGUUACAUAGGGCAAAUAUUGUAUAAUUGUUCGAUUUUCCGCAAUUUUUUCCAUGCCUCUGUGUAAAUAACCUAAUAUUGGUUCACAGUCAAUAACAUCUUCGCCAUCUAGAGUAACGAUGAGUCGAAGAACACCAUGCAUUGAUGGGUGGUGGGGACCCAUAUUGACUAUCAUAAGGUCUUUUCGCAUAGCUGGUACAUUCAUAGGGGUUUCCUCGAUCUAUUCUUCCAUGAAUUACUGAAAACAAAAAGAAAUUCAUCUCAAGAUCUAAUAAAUCAAAUAAUUCAAAAAAACUCCUCAAUUUAUCAGUUUAACGAAUUUUUGACUCCCGAAUAUCCAACCGGCUAAUUAAUUCUUUAUAACGUACUCUCUUUUUCUUUGCUAAAUAAGACAGCGAUCGUUGACGUUUUCCUAGAAUUUUCCGCAAACCCCUCUGAGAUGAAUAGUCUUUUCUAUGCAAUUCCAAAUGUGAAGUAAGUCUUCGUAUCUUAUUAGUGAAACUUACUAUUUGAAAUUCAACGGAUUCUUUGUUUUCGUUUUUUUCUUCUUGUGAAAUAACCGAAAUGAAUGAAUUUUUUACCAUAAAAAAAGUACUUUUUUAGUUUAUUUUUUUUAGUUUAAGAUAUUUUUUAUUAAUCAGUAAUAAUAGAAAAUGUAUUAAUAAAUAAUAAUGUCAGUUCAUUUUAAUUUUGUAUACACAAUAAUCUUUCUUUGUUAAUAAUUCAAAAUCUUGUCAAAUCCAAUUUAUCCUUAAUCAAUUCCAUUUUUUUUUUAUUCAGUUAUAGAUACAAAAAGGAUGGUAUAUUUUUUCGUUUCCAAAAGAGAAAAAAAUUCUAUCUAAAAUGGAAUUGAAAGUAAAAAAGAUUCGUUUCUAGAUCUAAUUAAUACAUGAUUGAAUUCCAUAUGAAUAUGGAGUGUAAAAAAAUAACGUGCCCAUCUCCUUGUUUUCAUAUACUCGAUUAGAUAUGCUAUGGGAUAUAUAUGAAAAAUGAAAAAUGCACCUUUACUAAAACUAAAAUUGCGCCCGUGGAUAUAUAUAUAUUCUUACCAUACUGAAGCAACUGGCAUUAUUAGUAUCAAACCAAUAGCGAUUCAUACAAGCUAAAUCUUCUAAUCGAAAAUGGGGCCAAAGAAAAAAUUUGAAUUUAAUUAGUUUAUUUUUAUCUCUAUCAAAAUGUUUACUUUUAUCCAAAAUAGGACCACAGUUUUUUAUUUUAUUAACGUUGAAAAUUUCUGUAUUUAUAUGAAUAUCAUUUUUAUGAAUAUCAUUUUGGUUUUUAAAAUUGAAAGAAGUUAGAAUUCUUAAUUCUCUACGACGUUUAGGGAAUAAAAUAUUUUCAGGAACAAGUAAAUCAUAAUCAUUUUUGUCUCUAUUGCCAAUUAGACUUUGAUGUCUUUCAAUAGGUUCGGUAAAAUUCUUUUUAUCAAUAUAGAUUUUUUCUCUGUAUUUUUGAUUAAUUUGUUGUUUGUUCUUAUGAACUAAUAAGAUACCUACCGUUUGAUACAAAAGAAAUUGUCCAUUAUUUUUUACUGACAAACGAACAGGUUCGAUAAUAAAUAUUCCCUUUUUCAUCAAUUCAGUAAGAGUUAAAUCCUUCUGAACCAUCAGAAUAUUCAGACUUAUUUCUUGUCUUUGAAUAGAAGAUAUAAGAAUUUCUCGUGGAUUUGUCAGUCUAAGCAGGAGACAAUAUACUUUGAUAUUAUUGAUUAUUUUUUCAUUUAAAGAAUCAUUCCAUCUUAAUUGAAAACAUAAAUACCGUUUUAGGAAGAAAUCAAGCUCUACUUCCGUAUGACUUUUGUUUUGUUUUUUAUUUCUAUGUUUUUUCAUAUCUAAUCCCAUAUAAUCUUCUUCAAUAUUUUUUUCUUGAUUUGCGAAAACUGAUCCAAAGUCCAUUUUGUCUUUGGAUUCUUUUUCUUCGUGAUUUCGAUUCUCUAAUUCAAUGAAUUUUUUUUCAUUCGAUGAUAUAAAAAGAUCGCCGUUUUUCUUCUCGUUGAUUUUAGUAUUUUUACUAACAUUUUCAUUUCUAUGAAAAUUGAAAAGAAGAAAUUGGAUGGGUAUUGCCCAUGGUUUUAUCUUAUAUGUGUUAUAAAGUAUCACAAAUUUUCGAAAGAACCAAAGUUCAAAAUUGGAUAUGAGACGAUUUUGUAUUUCUUCAUUCAUUCCCAGCCAAUCAAAAAGGUUUUUUUUUUGAUUGGAUGAAUUGACUUCUUGAUCUUGGUGAAUUGUAAGAAAAAGAAGAUUUUUCUUAUCGAUUUUAUCAAUUAUUUGAUACUUAUUAGUCCUAGUCUUAGUAUUUUUUUUUUCUUUGCUUCCGAUAUCAAUCCAGGACUCAAUAUCGACCUUUUUUCUAAGACAAAAAUCGAGAAUUCUCCAAUCCAAAUAUUUUCUAGUCGGGCUUUUCUCCAUAUCGCUAAUAUCAUCUUCCCCUAGAUAAUUAUUGAUAGGAAUACUUUCCAACAUGUCAAAUAAUUUGCUUUUAUUUGUGUUGUAAUUAUAAGAAAUCUCUUGUUUAUUUACUUGUAAUGGGAAUCCGUAAAUAUAUGAGUUCUUCUUAUUUUCAUAAUUAAUGGAUUUAUAUGAUAAAAGAUUAUAUCUACAGUGUUUUUGAAAAUUCUUUUUUUGAUUCGGUAAUGAAUCUGCCGCAAAAUCAUUAUCAUUUUUUUUUUCGUAAUGAAUUAAUUGGUCUUUUUCAUUUAAUUGGUCUUUUUCAUAUAAAUUGAAUUUAUUAAAUUUUUUAUUUUGAACCAUAUGGUGUUGCUUGAUUCUAUUUCGCCAUUUUUGUGAUAUUAAUCUAGACCAUCUAAUCUGAGUUAAAUCAUAUUUAUAUUGAUAAUGACCCCUUAACCAGUUUUUCCAUUGAUUUAUUACGAAAUUUUGAAAAUUUUUAUCUUUUAAUUUGGAAUUAAAUAUCCCUUGGGCUCUAAAAUAAUCCUUUAUCUCAUUCUUAAGAAAAAGGCCAUGAUAUUGAAGGAUAGAUCGUAACUUAUAUAAAUUAAUAAUUUGGAUUUGUGAUAAUUUGUAAAAUACAUAUGUUUGUGACAAGGAGGAUAUAUCACAAAAAAUCUGUGAAUUGUUAUUAAUAACAGCAAUAUUACUAUUAUUAAGUAACUUUUUUAUAAUCAUAAUCGAAAGAAAGUGAAUUGUAUUUUGCUUUGUUUUAUCAAUUUUUUUGUGAUUUUUUUCAUUAUUGCAAACAUAUUUAGUAAUAAUUUUUUUUGUUGAUUCAAGAAAAAGCUGUGCAUUGAUCCUCGGAAUAUUAAUGAUACUUAAAAAGAUAUCUAUGUAUAUCCUUUGAAUCAAAAUUUUUAUAAAAAAAUGGAAUUUACGCCCUUUUAGAUAAUUUAGAUAAUUUUCAGUCUAUUACUAAUCCUUUGUGUAACUUGGUAUUCUUAACCAUCCACUCAUUUUUGCUUAAUCACCUGUUAGAAUUAUGGUAAUACAUAUAAAUGAUAGUGAAAACUCAAGAAAACUUAAUAAGCUUGAUCUUUUGAGCCCGCUUCAAGUCAGGAUGACUAAUCAACCAAUCUUGGGGCAACCGGUCUUCUUUUUUUUUUCUGUUUUACUCUUGUACAUAGGAAAUGAGUCUCCAUUUUUUACUUCAAAUUUCGAAGUUGUUUUCUUUUACUC
rnacentral:lncRNA from 1 species